rnacentral:rRNA from 1 species
UACGAAGGGGGCUAGCGUUGCUCGGAUUGACUGGGCGUAAAGGGCGCGUAGGCGGCCUGGCAAGUCGGUGGUGAAAGCUCGCGGCUCAACUGCGAGUCGGCCAACGAUACUGCGAGGCUCGAGUCGACUAGAGGCAGAUGGAAUUCCGGGUGUAGCGGUGGAAUGCGUAGAGAUCCGGAAGAACACCGGUGGCGAAGGCGGUCUGCUGGGGUCGAACUGACGCUGAGGCGCGACAGCGUGGGGAGCAAACAGG